AGACAAAAAGGAAAAAAAAAGAAACAGGGCGGGGUUCGGUGGUUGAAUCAUCCGUCCCCACCAAUGCCAAAACCAAAUCUACGCCCUUGGUUUGAAUUAAAGUAAAACCUCUGUACUUGCUUGGAAAUCCACUGUGGUUUUGUACAGAGGCUAAACUGAUGUAGUGCUCAUUUAUAUGUGUUCAUAAUUUGUAAACUGAAGAUGAUUAAUCUCAGAAAUCAUGACACAAUAUGGAGCCCGCAUAAGCUGCGUUUAUUGGGUAUAAGUAUUGCAUCAGGAAUACCCGCCCUGUAGUUACUCAGUAUCAGAUCGAUACCAAAGCUGUUACAGCUCUGCUAAUCACAGUUCAAUCAAGUUCACUUCUCCAUCCCUGAGAGAUCCUCUUGGUCAUACCGUAUUUUAAUAGGAAGAAUCGGAUUUUAUAUUCUCCGCAUGCUCAUUGGAUAGGAGCCUGUCAAUCACAAAUUAUUAGCCAAUGAGCAAGCCGUUUCACAGCCGGAUCCGUGCUUCCAAAGUUACGUGGGUUUUCUCGCAACCAAGAUGGCGACCGUAAAAAAACGCUCAUCCCGAUGCUUUCAAACGGUUUCAGAAAACAGCGCGUGGCGUCACCUGUAGCUACGAUCGUACCUGACAACCUCGUGAACCACGUGGGUCUCUGCUCCCUGAUCGGUUUCCUGUGUUUGGAAAGAGUUCCAGCUUCAUCACGGAGUUUCUCUCGGUUUGUGGGCUCAUCUAAAGCUGAUCAGCAGGAGGAGAGUCUGACGGAGCAGCAGAGAAAGAUUUUCAGCUAUUUGGUCUCAGCUGAGUCACUACAGAGGAAACAAUGAGUUUCACAGAAAAGGACCAACAUGGAACAAGAAGUCAGCGCUCUCAGGAGGCCGACAAACUUCACAGAAGAAAGG